CUUCAUCAGUGACCACCUGUUUUAUGUGCAGGUGGACGUGGCGGAGGCUAUGGGCGGUGAGUUCACUGCGCAGGUUAGCCACACCUUGCACCAUGCUGACUGCCCGCAGGUGUUCACAAAGGUCAGGCUGGCUUUAUCUCCGUGUUCCACCCUGGAAAUGUGAUGACAGGCAGAGUGAGCCGGACGUGGCGGUGGCUAUGGGCGGCGCAGGUAAGCCACACCUUGCACCACGCUGACUGCCCGCAUCUGUUCACUUAAGGCCUGGAUCUCCGUGUUCUACCCUGGAAAUGACUGUAGAAUGAUGUCCUGUGUUGUGGUCUUCACUCGGGAUUGCCAACAUGACAGCAUUUGCUCAGGAGUAUUAUGGCAAUGGUUUAUGUGAUCUGGCAUGGAGGCAUAUUUUCUUCUCUUUUUCUCAAGGUGAACCUUCUAAACCUUGGUGUAACAUGGCCGUGUCUCAUGCUAUACAUGAUGGAGAGGUGGCUUGGCCCAGUAAAGGAAUGUGAGUCUUCCUUUUCAUGUGCUUUAUACUUCUGCUUGAAGCAU